AAUCAACGCUGGCGGCGUGCCUCAGACAUGCAAGUCGAACGAUUAAACUUUCCUUCGGGAAAGAUAUAAAGUGGCGCACGGGUGAGUAACACGUAAGUAAUCUGCCUUUGAGUGGGGAAUACCUUCGGGAAACCGAAGCUAAUACCGCAUAAUGCAGCGGCACCGCAAGGUGACAGUUGUUAAAGGAGCAAUCCGCUUAAAGAGGAGCUUGCGGCAGAUUAGCUAGUUGGUAAGGAAUGGCUUACCAAGGCUACGAUCUGUAACCGGUCUAAGAGGACGGUCGGUCACACUGACACUGAAUAACGGGUCAGACUCCUACGGGAGGCAGCAGUCGGGAAUUUUGGGCAAUGGGCGAAAGCCUGACCCCAGCAACGCCGCGUGAAGGAUGAAGUA
rnacentral:rRNA from 1 species